rnacentral:rRNA from 1 species
GACGAACGCUGGCGGCGUGCCUAACACAUGCAAGUCGAACGGAAAGGCCCUGCUUUUGUGGGGUGCUCGAGUGGCGAACGGGUGAGUAACACGUGAGUAACCUGCUCUUGACUUUGGGAUAACUUCAGGUAACUGGGGCUAAUACCGGAUAGGAGCUCCUGCUGCAUGGUGGGGGUGGGAAAGUUUCGGCGGUUGGGGAUGGACUCGCGGCUUAUCAGCUCGUUGGUGGGGUAGUGGCUUACCAAGGCAUUGACGGGUAGCCGGCCUGAGAGGGUGACCGGCGACCAUGCGACUGAGAUACGGCCCAGACUCCUACGGGAGGCAGCAGUGGGGAGUCUUGCGCAAUGGGCGGGAGCGUGAUGCAGCAGCGCCGCGUGCGGAAUGACGGCCUUCGGGUUAUGAACCGCUUUCGCCUGUGACCAAGCGUGAGUGACGGUAAUGGGUAAAGAAGCACCGGCUAACUACGUG